rnacentral:rRNA from 1 species
GACGAACGCUGGCGGCGUGCUUAACACAUGCAAGUCGAACGGAAAGGCCCUGCUUUUGUGGGGUGCUCGAUUGGCGAACGGGUGAGUAACACGUGAGUAACCUGCCCUUGACUUUGGGAUAACUUCAGGAAACUGGGGCUAAUACCGGAUAGGAGCUCCUGCUGCAUGGUGGUGGUUGGAAAGUGUCGGCGGUUGGGGAUGGACUCGCGGCUUAUCAGCUUGUUGGUGGGGUAGUGGCUUACCAAGGCUUUGACGGGUAGCCGGCCUGAGAGGGUGACCGGCCACAUUGGGACUGAGAUACGGCCCAGACUCCUACGGGAGGCAGCAGUGGGGAAUAUUGCACAAUGGGCGGAAGCCUGAUGCAGCAACGCCGCGUGCGGGAUGACGGCCUUCGGGUUGUAAACCGCUUUCGCCUGUGACGAAGAGUGAGUGACGGUAAUGGGUAAAGAAGCACCGGCUAACUACGUG